AAUUUUAUAAGAAGACGAGAAGACCCUAUAGAGUUUUAUAGAUUUAAUUUUAUUUAUUUUGGAUUUUAUCAUAAUAAUAUGAAUUUCUAUUUUGUUGGGGUGACGCGAGGAUUGAAUAAACUUCUUGUUAUUAAAACAUUGAUUAGUGAUUAAUUGAUCCUGAUAUUUUGGAUUAUAAGAAUAAAUUACCUUAGGGAUAACAGCGUAAUUUUUUUGGAGAGUUCUUAUCAAUAAAGAAGAUUGCGACCUCGAUGUUGGAUUAAAGUUAAGUUUCGGUGCAGAAGCUGGAAUUUUA
rnacentral:rRNA from 1 species